CCGUGGGACCUUUGUGCCGGCGGGGAGCGGCGUGUUGACGUUUCUUGCGUGUCCAUGGUGACGGCGCGGUGUCACCUCUCCGGUGUCACCUCUGCCCGGUGUCACCCCUGCUCAAAGGGGCAGGGCCCCGCUAUUUAAGGAUGCCCUAGGGCCGGGAGAGCCGUGCCAAGGACGGGGAUCCCGAGUGCUGUCGGCAUUGCUUCUUCAGGGAACUCUUCCACAGGUUUGCUCGGAGACCACUGAGGAUGUGUGACCCCAACCAAGGCCUGCCACACCCUCACCUUGCGGUGUGCCCUCCCGCCCCUCCAGGAUACCCCGGUCCUGGCACAGGUCCCUACCCUGGUGGCAUUGCAGUUUGCCCUGCUGCCCCUCCAGGACACCCCGGUCCUGGCACAGGUCCCUACCCUGGUGGCAUUGCUGUCUGCCCCCCACACCCUGCUCCACCUGGCCAGCACUCCCACGGGCACCCCCCGUUGGGGCAUCACCCUCACGGACACCAGGAGCACCAUAAGAAGCACCAUAAGAAGCACCAUAAAAAGAAGCACUGCAAGCACCAUGAAGGCAAGCACUCCGGUGGCUCAUGCAGCUCAAGCAGCAGCUCGGACUCUGACUAGAGGUCUGGCAUGUCCCACCUGCUCCAUGAUGAUCAGCAAAACAUGAGGCCAAACUCCUCGUGGGAACCCCCUGCAUGUCACUCCUCUCCCUCCCCCUUUCCCUUAGGGCAGUUUUUUUCCUGCUGAGUGAUUUUUCUUGUGUGCAAGAGCUUGUAAAUCCUUUGACCUGGAAUCUCUGAGUUAAUGGACAACAUCUCCACCCUUUAUCUUCUGGGAGAGCCUGCUGAAAGUCAUCACAUGCUGUUUUCCAAUC